CCCUACGGGACGCAGCAGUGAGGAAUAUUGGUCAAUGGGCGGGAGCCUGAACCAGCCAAGUCGCGUGAGGGAAGACGGUCCUAUGGAUUGUAAACCUCUUUAGGCGGGGAGCAAUGCCGGGCACGCGUGCCCGGAGGGAGAGUACCCGCAGAAUAAGCAUCGGCUAACUCCGUGCCAGCAGCCGCGGUAAUACGUAGGUGGCGAGCGUUAUCCGGAAUGAUUGGGCGGAAAGGGUGCGCAGGCGGUCCUG
rnacentral:rRNA from 1 species